CUUCGUUUCUCUCUCUCUCCUCUCCCCAAUACAAUCUUUCCUACUCUCUAAACUCUCUCUCUAAACCCCCCCAAUACCUUCUGAUUCCGGCCAUUCUUCCCUCUGAUGCCUGCCCAUACCCAAUCUUCCGGCCAAAUCCUCCGGCAUAUCCGCCGGAUCUGAACGGAAAUCCGGCUUCCAGCUUACCGAUCUCGCUUAUAACACUCUGUCUCUGAACCCCAUCUCUCUCUCUCUCUAGAGCCCUAUAUCUCUUUCUCUCUCUUCAGGGCCGUUACUUUUCCAUCUUUUCCCCUUUUAUUUUUCCGGGUCUUGAAAUAAUUCUUUUUUUUUCCCGUCAAAAUUACGGAAGUCAUUUUUUUAAUUUUCAUUUCUUUGGCGGUUGCCUGCCCACCACACGAUCUUGCUGACUUGGCGCCAUCUCAUCGAGUUCUGUCCGUACCGCAAGAUGUCGAGUGACACCCGAGCGUCAAAGAAGAGGAAAACGAAGAACGGCGAUUUUGACGCCGAGGUGUCAAGAAGCCAAUGCGAAGCCGAGCGGGAUAACCGGCUCCUGGCUUGCUAUUUGGCUCACGAGUUCCUCUCUCGAGGCACUCUCUUCGGUCGCUCGUGGAGCCGAGCCGCGGGCUCGAGCCGCGCCGAGCCAAGCCAUGUGAGACGUGGCGGUGAUGGAGACCGUCAGAUCUACGCCAACGUGGCUGAGAUGAUGAAAUCGGACGACGUUCACCUACCCGGCAUCGUCAACCCCACUCAGCUCGCUAGCUGGCUGCGAUCGUGACACGUGGACGGCUACAACGCGACCGCGUGGCAGAAAACCCUUCUCCACGUGGCGUGUUUCGAUUUGCUGGACUCCCCCUCUCCAUGCAGCGUCGUUAGAGCGACCACCCCGAGAGCUUACGAGUACGCUCAAGUUCAGUGUACGGUCUAAUACACUGUUGUGUACGGUUUGUGUAGUAUUUGUUGUAUCCUAGAUAGCAUGCAGCGCCUGUGUACCAGUGAUUGGACGGUGUAGGUUUCAUCGAUCGUACCUUCUUAUUCGGGACCCUUGCUCGAGGUAAGCUUGACGAGCUCAUGCUUCUCCAUUUCACGGUCCAGAUUUCGUUUCAUUUUUCAGGGGACGGUCGGGAUUGGAGAAGGCCCAUUCGCCUGGUGCGAACCUGGGUCUUCAUGUGAAGUUUCAUUGCUUCUGCAACGUAGGAUUCAUCUUUCUUGUUCUUGUUUAUUUUCCAUUGUUGAUGCCAAGUUCAAGUUCUUGAAACUCUAUGUUUCAUAUCUCGCGAAAAUUUCAUUCGAAUUUCGGCUGACUUUCGAUCAACCUGAAAACUGAUGGCAACUUUCUCUCACUUAAAUACUGAGCGUUACUCUCUCUCUCUGGUAAGGAAGGAUAGACAUGAAUCUAAAUACUUCAUUUCUUUGUUCUUUUUACUGUUUUCAUAAUCUUUACCAAGUAUUUAACAAAUUCAUUUCUAUCAAUAAUUGCAUUCAAUUAUUAGAUUCUCCCUAUCUCGAGUCCAAAUGAUGCCAUUUGCACUAUACUUUUAAACCAAAACUGUAUCUAUCAUUUAACCAAAACUGUAUCUA
rnacentral:lncRNA from 1 species